UACGUGAGGGGCGAACGUUGUUCGGUGUCACUGGGCUUAAAGGGCGCGUAGGUGGUUGCGUAAGUAACGUGUGAAAUCCCUCGGCUUACCCGGGGAAUUGCGCGUUAUACUGCGUGGCUUGAGGAUUUCAGGGGAAAGGGGAACUCCAGGUGUAGCGGUGAAAUGCGCAGAUAUCUGGGGGAAGGCCGGCGGCGAAGGCGCCUUUCUGGGAAAUACCUGACACUGAGGCGCGAAAGCGUGGGGAGCAAACAGG
rnacentral:rRNA from 1 species